rnacentral:rRNA from 1 species
UACAGAGGGGGCAAGCGUUGUUCGGAAUUACUGGGCGUAAAGGGCGCGUAGGCGGCCUUCUAAGUCGAACGUGAAAUCCCCGGGCUCAACCCGGGAACUGCGUCCGAUACUGGGAGGCUUGAAUCCGGGAGAGGGAUGUGGAAUUCCAGGUGUAGCGGUGAAAUGCGUAGAUAUCUGGAGGAACACCGGUGGCGAAGGCGGCAUCCUGGACCGGUAUUGACGCUGAGGCGCGAAAGCGUGGGGAGCGAACAGG